rnacentral:rRNA from 1 species
AGAGUUUGAUCAUGGCUCAGGACGAACGCUGGCGGCGUGCUUAACACAUGCAAGUCGAACGAUGAAGCUGGAGCUUGCUCCGGUGGAUUAGUGGCGAACGGGUGAGUAACACGUGAGCAAUCUGCCCUUGACUCUGGGAUAACUGCGGGAAACUGUAGCUAAUACCGGAUAUGAGGCUCGAAGGCAUCUUCGGGUCUGGAAAGAAUUUCGGUCAAGGAUGAGCUCGCGGCCUAUCAGCUUGUUGGUGAGGUAAUGGCUCACCAAGGCGACGACGGGUAGCCGGCCUGAGAGGGUGACCGGCCACACUGGGACUGAGACACGGCCCAGACUCCUACGGGAGGCAGCAGUGGGGAAUAUUGCACAAUGGGCGAAAGCCUGAUGCAGCAACGCCGCGUGAGGGAUGAAGGCCUUCGGGUUGUAAACCUCUUUUAGCAGGGAAGAAGCGAAAGUGACGGUACCUGCAGAAAAAGCACCGGCUAACUACGUGCCAGCAGCCGCGGUAAUACGUAGGGUGCAAGCGUUGUCCGGAAUUAUUGGGCGUAAAGAGCUCGUAGGCGGUUUGUCGCGUCUGCUGUGAAAACCUGAGGCUCAACCUCAGACCUGCAGUGGGUACGGGCAAGCUAGAGUGCGGUAGGGGAGAUGGGAAUUCCUGGUGUAGCGGUGGAAUGCGCAGAUAUCAGGAGGAACACCAAUGGCGAAGGCACAUCUCUGGGCCGUAACUGACGCUGAGGAGCGAAAGCGUGGGGAGCGAACAGGAUUAGAUACCCUGGUAGUCCACGCCGUAAACGGUGGGUGCUAGU